CCUACGGGAGGCAGCAGUGGGGAAUAUUGCACAAUGGGGGAAACCCUGAUGCAGCAACGCCGCGUGAGCGAUGAAGGCCUUCGGGUCGUAAAGCUCUGUCCUAAGGGAAGAAUACUGACGGUACCUUAGGAGGAAGCCCCGGCUAACUACGUGCCAGUAGCCGCGGUAAUAGGUAGGGGGCUAGCGUUAUCCGGAAUUACUGGCCGUAAAGGGUGCGUAGGCGGCCCUCAAAGUCAGAGGUGAAAGGCUACGGCUCAACCGUAGUAAGGCGUUGACACUGUAGGGCUUGAGGGCAGGGAAGGAGUGUGGAAAUCCCUGUGUAGCGGUGAAAUGCGUAGAUAGUGGGAGGAACUCGAGUUGCUAAGGCGGCUUUCUGGACAGUAACGGACGCUGAGGCACGAAAGCGUGGGGAGCGAACAGGAUUAGAUACCCCGGUAGUC
rnacentral:rRNA from 1 species